GCAAGUGUUUUUUUAUAUAUCGGCCAAAUGCAGGCCUAUCCCUUUAAGGCACCGAGUUAAAAGAGAGUGCAUCAGAACAGUUUCAGCAGAGCGCGAAUAUCUCUGGAUGGAGGAAGAGCUGGAUGUUGAAGCACCGGUUGCGCACAUUUUCUGGGAAACCUGAAAAGAGAAAUAGUGGGGUAUCACCAAGGACCACACACGGAGGAACAAAGGCAAGCAGACCAGUUUACAGUUGUAUGAAUCUUGGAAGAGAACCUUACCAACAGCAGAAAGGAAUGUAUAUCUUCACUACCCACGAAUGGGUGAGUUAUCAGAUUAUCUCAAUUAAAUGUGGGUAAUUCACUACACAAGUUUCCUUGUGUAAGACUUUUAUAAGACUGUUGAGGUCAGCUGUCAAACA